CCUACGGGAGGCAGCAGUGGGGAAUAUUGGGCAAUGGAGGCAACUCUGACCCAGCAACGCAGCGUGAAUGAUGAAGGUCUUCGGAUUGUUAAGUUCUUUUCUAAGGGAAGAAGAAAGUGACGGUACUGUAGGUAUAAGCCUCCGCUAACUACGUGCCAGCAGCCGCGGUCAUACGUAGGAGGCAAGAGUUAUCCGGAAUGACUGGGCGUAAAGGGUGCGUAGGUGGGUUGACAAGUUAGUUGGGAAACUUCGGAGCUCAACUUCGGAACUACUACUAAAACUGUUGGACUUGAGUGCAGGAGGGGUAAGCGGAAUUCGUGGUGUAGCGGUGGAAUGCGUAGAUAUUAGGAGGAACACCAGUGGCGAAGGCGGAUUGCUAGACUGUAACUGACACUGAGGCACGAAAGCGUGGGGAGCAAACAGGAUUAGAUACCCUAGUAGUC
rnacentral:rRNA from 1 species